GUGCCAGCCGCCGCGGUAAUACGUAGGGUGCAAACGUUGUUCGGAAUCACUGGGCAUAAAGGGCGCGUAGGCGGUUUGAUAAGUCCUGUGUGAAAGCCCCCGGCUCAACCGGGGAACUGCACUGGAUACUGUCAGGCUAGAGUGUAGAAGAGGAGAGCGGAAUUCCUGGUGGAGCGGUGAAAUGCGUAGAUAUCAGGAGGAACGCCAGUGGCGAAAGCGGCUCUCUGGUCUACUACUGACGCUGAGGCGCGAAAGCUAGGGGAGCAAACGGGAUUAGAAACCCCGGUAGUCC
rnacentral:rRNA from 1 species